GGAUAAGAGCUGCUCAUAUUUAUGGA
rnacentral:piRNA from 1 species